rnacentral:rRNA from 1 species
GCGACCCCAGGAUGGGCGAGGCCACCCGCCGAGUUUAAGCAUAUCAAUAAGCGGAGGAAAAG